rnacentral:rRNA from 1 species
UACGUAGGGUGCGAGCGUUAAUCGGAAUUACUGGGCGUAAAGCGUGCGCAGGCGGUUUUCCAAGACAGAUGUGAAAUCCCCGGGCUCAACCUGGGAAUGGCAUUUGUGACUGGGAGGCUAGAGUGUGUCAGAGGGGGGUAGAAUUCCACGUGUAGCAGUGAAAUGCGUAGAGAUGUGGAGGAAUACCGAUGGCGAAGGCAGCCCCCUGGGAUAACACUGACGCUCAUGCACGAAAGCGUGGGGAG